UAGGGAAUAUUGCUUAAUGGGCGAAAGCCUGAAGCAGCAACGCCGCGUGGACGAAGAAGGCCUUCGGGUUGUAAAGCUCUUUUGUCCGGGAGGAAAUCCUGACCCCUAAUACGGGUCGGGGAUGACAGUACUGGAAGAAUAAGCACCGGCUAACUACGUGCCAGCAGCCGCGGUAAUACGUAGGGUGCAAGCGUUAAUCGGAAUUACUGGGCGUAAAGCGUGCGCAGGCGGUUUUGUAAGCCAGAUGUGAAAUCCCCGAGCUUAACUUGGGAACUGCGUUUGGAACUGCAAGACUAGAGUGUGUCAGAGGGGGGUAGAAUUCCACGUGUGGCAGUGAAAUGCGUAGAGAUGUGGAGGAAUACCGAUGGCGAAGGCAGCCCCCUGGGAUAACACUGACGCUCAUGCACGAAAGCGUGGGGAGCAAACA
rnacentral:rRNA from 1 species